UACGAACUGUGCGAACGUUAUUCGGAAUCACUGGGCUUACAGGGUGCGUAGGCGGCCGAACAAGUCAGGUGUGAAAGCCCUCGGCUCAACCGAGGAACUGCGCUUGAAACUGUUUGGCUCGAGUCAACUAGAGGUGCACGGAACUUCCAGUGGAGCGGCGAAAUGUGUUGAUAUUGGAAGGAACACCGGAGGCGAAAGCGGUGCACUGGGGUUGGUCUGACGCUGAGGCACGAAAGCCAGGGGAGCGAACGGG
rnacentral:rRNA from 1 species